AAUAGCAGCCAUAUCACCCUGCAACUCACAACUGGCAACCCACUGAAGCUAAGCAGGUGUGAGCCUGGUCAGUACCUGGAUGGGAGACCUGGGAAAAACUAAGGUUGCUGCUGGAA
rfam:Lepisosteus oculatus linkage group LG18, whole genome shotgun sequence.